UAUCCAGCGGUGUUAGGGCACUAAGAAUUUUGAUUUCUUAAGAGAGGUUCAACUCCUCCUGAUAAGGUCUUAAGUUAUAAAACUGCAGGC
rnacentral:tRNA from 1 species